rnacentral:lncRNA from 1 species
GCAGAAUAAACAGAUCGGCUUGUAUAUGCAAUAAAAAUGUAUAUAGUAAUUAUUAUUAUUAUUGUGAUUAUUAUUAUUACUAUUGUUUGUUGUUGUUGUUAUUGUUGUGAAAUUCCUUCACCAGCAUUGUAGUGCUUCUCAUUAUUUAGAUGUGCGUUGCCGUGGAAUCAAUUCUCAGAGACACAUAUAAAUUACUGUUUAACGAGACGCCAUAUUCCAUAAAUUAUUCAAAACACCUGGGAUUACAAUAUGAGAUCAAAUGAUAGGAAAGAAAGAGUACUCUGCUGGAGGCAGCGUGAACACCAGCCAUCACACUCUCGUUUUGAUGUUAAAUAAGGCAGUCGCUCGGCGAGCUGCUCAGACAGGAAUAAUUGAAAGAAAAAGAGAGCACACACUCUGCAAAAGCAGCUCGGUGCAUCAGAAGUGUCUUCUGUAAUGCCAGCUCGCCCACAGAACUGAAAGAAUUACGAACGAAACGUGUGGAAAAACGUUCUCCGGGGCGCCGCGGGGAGCCCGACGGGUGUGUGAGCGCCGCGAUGAGAAUUGGCCGAGCGUCCCGUAACGGCCCGGCUCCGACAGGACCCCCGCCGCACGGAUUAAUCACUGUCUUCACAUAAAGUCUAAAUCGCCACCUUAAGACUGUGGGAGGCUGGAGGGAGGGCUCUCGGGAGGUCAAAGGUUAAACUGUCGUUUUAAACGGAUGUUCGGUUUUGAAUUGCCUUUAAAUGUUCUCUAAAUUAUCAGGUCUGAAAUGAGAUUGGUUGCCUAACAUCAUCAUUAUAGAGCCUGUAUCACCUCACCUUUUUCUAUCCUGUACUAUUUAAAUACUGCUUCAAAUCCAUAUAUGGAGAGCAGUUUAACUCCACCCAUUCAUAUGGAAGUUAUAAGAGGUGUUUCAGCC